GUAGAGCGGACACGGUGGGGCUUGGCAGGCACGUUCCGACUCUGGUCUGGUGUACUGGUCGCACCCGGUCUCUCUGGCUACUUUGUGUGUUCCCAUGUGACAGCCCACAUUUCUCCGCUGGACGCCUUGGCCACAGGACACAGAGCACUAAGAGGACAAGAGAGUCGCCAUACUGGAAAACAUCUCAAGGCUCAACAUGGAAGGAAGGAAGCCUUGGAGGGAAAAAUGUGGACAGCAUGACAGCAGGAACCCUGUCUAGUAUUUUGGGUCACUCAAGAGUGAGGGUAAAAUCUUGAUAAUUGAGGCCAAAAAUGAAGGCCAUGAACCUGGUAUUACUAUGAAAUUCUGAUUUAAAGAAGAUAUACUAUGAAUUAGUAGAAUUCCUUUUGGACAUCUCACUUUGUGCAAUCUCUGAUGAAGGUAUUUCUUCAACAAACUGCCUCGUGAUUCACUCUUUUGGAUAAAGGUACGUUCCUAAAACAGAGCUGUGUCCCAUUUCCUAGCGAAAUGAUUUAAGGAAACUCUUCUACCAUUUUUCAGAGGAUAAGCUCUCAUUUUCCCAGCACAUUGGAAAGGAAGUGAAAAAGGCACGUUUUGAAAGGUAAGCUAGCAGGUGGGUCUGUGCCAAUUUUGGGAGGGAGGCAUUACCUUUCAACUUUGAUCUGAAGGUUCACUGAACUGUUUUAAAUGUGACCUUGUCUGACCACAUCUAAGAAACUUGACUUUGAUUUCCGAGUAGGUUUCUCAGGAAGGUUUAGGAAUCAAAGUGCCCAUGGACUCAGGACAAAAAUUUGAUAUGACAGCUUCUUGUGGAACAGGCAAGAGGCUGGCCCCAGUGAGUAUGCUGAGAUAUUCAAUGUCCAUUGCCUCAUUAGCGAUUACAGAAGUCAUUACCCCUGGGAUUAUAAGCUUGCUGGCUCCGGUUUUCAAGACACAUUAUUUCCCAAUAUAAUGUUCUUGCAUUUCAGAGGGAAAUGAGUUUAAGAAUGAAGAGCAAAAUGGGAAAAUGCAAUGAAAAUAGAUUUCAAGUGUCAUUUCCUUCUACUCAAUAUUUCGAAUUUCCUCUGCUAACUUUGCAAUGUUAUUAACUUAAAUGGCCAAAGUGCUCUCUUAUGGCUAAUAGAUAAAUAAUACCAUGUAAAACAUGUAGCCUAAUAUAAAUUCAACCACUAUGACCCACAUGCUCAAAGUGAUACCAUUCAUAAAUGAGCCAGAUGUGCUUUUCUAGUUAAUAUAAGCCAUUUAAAAAUUUUAAUAGUUGCUGGUAGAGAAAUUUAAAAUAUGUAUAUUAACAUGUUUAGCUAUAACUUUUUACUUUAGGUAAUGGAAACACUAUUCUUUUCAUCUGAGCUCUCACCUUGUGAUUAUUAUGAUUUAGUGUACCCAUUCUGGAACUUUUAAUAGAGAAUACAGUGUGGAAGGAAGGCGCCCAAUUGGAAUAUCUACACCAAAACAAAAACAUCCAUCUUUAAACCUACCGUAUUUUGAUGUAUAUAAAGACUUUGGGUUCUAAUUCCAGAAGGCUUUUAGAAAGAAUUUCUAAGAAUUAAUGCUAUAAACCAAUGGUCUAACGACUUACACAUAGAUAAUCCCUAUUAUUAGUGACUAAUUUUUAUAUUUUUCACUGUUACUUUCAUGAAAAAAUACAGGCAGAAUUAGAACUUGGGGUGAGAUCACUUCUUUAGUCAGCCAACAUUUACUAAGCACCUAUGUUUCAAGAAUUAUUCAAAUUGCUGGGAAUAUAGUGAUGAAUAAAACUGACCUAAUCUCUGUCCUCAUGGAGUUUACAGACCAGUGAGGAAGACCAGCAUCAAUCAAGUGAAGGCAGGAGUAAAUAUGUACUUGUUAAUUGAGAUGAAUGCUCUGCAGAAAGAAGGCUAGAGUGGUUGCAAGAGGGUUCCCUGAAGCCAGACUAUGCAGAACUCGUGGGUCAUAAUCAUAUACUUUAUUCUCCACAAGAUGGAAAAUCAUUGACGAGUUUUAGUUGGGUUAAGACAUGGUCUGAUUUUUGUUCAAAAAAUUCUACUUUGACUACUGAGUAUACAAUGAGUAGAAAUAUACCAUGAGCAGAAAUAAGAACAUUGCUUAGGAAGCAAAUGCAUUUGUUCAAACAAGAGGUGGUGGUGGCUUAGAUUAGGGUGAGAAAUAGUGGGGUGAGGGAAGUGGGUGGAUGUAAGAUAUUUUUUGAAGUAGAAAUGAUACUUUCUAAGGCAGGUGGAAGGCAGAGUUAGGAAGGCCUCCCAGGUUUCUGGCAUGUGCAGUUGGAGAGACAGAUGGGAAAAACAGCAUUGGGAGUCAAGAACACAUUUGUAGGAAAUAAGCUGAAUUGAAAGGCUAUAGAUUUGUGGGUGGUAACAUGUGCUUUAUUUGGGUGAAGAAACAGAGUUAUCUUUGAGUAUCAGAUGAACAUGGGUCAACUUAAAGCUUGCCUCUCUCCCUGAGGGAUUAUCAUUUUAACAUACAAAUAGUCCAGACAAGCUGUCCCUUAAUAUGGAGGGGAAAAAGAGAGUUAAUGGAGAUGUUGAUUUAGAAAUCUGUCCAGGGAGUUCACAUCAUGGUUCAGCAGGAAAUCAAUCUGACAAGUAUCCAUGAGGAUGCGGGUUUGAUCCCUGGCCUUGCUCAGUGGGUUAAAGACCUGGUGUUGUUGUGAGCUGUGGUGUAGGUCACAGAUGCAGCUUGGAUUCCACAUUGCUGUGGCUGUGGUAUAGGCUGGCAGCUGUAGUUCUGAUUCGACCCCUAGCCAGGGAACUUCCAUAUGCCAAGGGGGCGGCCCUAAAAAGCAAAAAUAAAUAAAUAAAUAAAUAAAAGAAUCUGUCCAUUGCGCUGUAAAUUCCAAGAGGGCAGGGAUUAAGACAGUUUCAUUCAUCACUAUACUCCCAGCACUUUGCAUAAUUCUUGAAUUUAGUAGAUGCUCAAUAAACGUUGAAUCAACAAAUGAGACAAAUCCCAUUUAAUGGUCAUUGGAAGAGAGACCUUAAAAAUACAGAGCAACCUAUAAAGGCAAAUUUGAAAAGGCACAGCUUCCUCCCAUUCAUUAUAUGCCAGGCACUCCUCUAAGACUUUAUAAGCAUUAUUUCAUUUAAUCAUUCCCCAAACCACAGACAUAGGUACAUUAUUGGAGACAUUACUGGAGACAACUGGGUUUUCAAAAUAGCAUAAUCAUAAUGCACAAGAUUUAUAUAUCUUCCCACAUGACUCCAACACAAGUGGCUAGAUAUCUGUUGGGAACAAGAAGAGCACAAUGAAAAUAAUUAAGUUAUCAACAAUAUUACUGAUCAGAAUUCAUCUGAGGGGCAUCACUGAUGCUACUCAUAUCUACUGCCCAUGAAAUGAAGAUAAAGUUGAUCUGAAAUGUGAUACCUUAAAAAUCUUUUAAAAAUAUCUGGAUUAGCUGCAUCCCCUUCAUUCCUAUAUGUAGUCCUCUUAGUUGGGGACUUAAAUGGAACUGACUUGGAAUAAAGGAUGAAUACUUCAGCAUGAGUCACUCACUACACACAGUAAUUGCCAAAAUCAAGAUCUAAAAGCGAUAAGGAAAUUCUCAUGGUAUCUAAUCUGAUAGAAAACACUUUUCAUUUCAUGCUUUCUAACUUACCAAUGAAGAAAAGCAGCUGCUUGUGGAAAUUUUCAUGUCUUACAGGUUUAUUAACAAUUUCAUAAUAAGGUCUAUUUCUAACAGGGUCUAUUAUGAUUUCAUAAAGAAGUUGUUUUGAUAAUCAAAUAAACACAGGUUUUAGCUCUUCUAUUCUGAGGGAAAUUUCCAUCUGAUCAUUUCCAGUCCUUUACCAAGCAAUGACUUUUGCACCAAUGUGCAUCAAUGAGUUAAAUUUAGUGCAUCACCUAAUACAUGCUAUUUAUUGGCUAAACAGCUGAGCCUUCUUGCUUUGGGGAAUAUUUAACUUCUUAUAUUUGUAGGCAGAAUAGCCUCCCAGUUUGCCGGUAGGACUCUUGACUUUUUCUCUUUUGGGGAAACAAAUGAACUUGUUCAAGAGAAAAAUUUUUCCCCUGGACUUUGAGUAACACUCUUAGACAAUGUAAUCUCUGCUUAUUACAUAGAGACACCAAGGUCAGUAUCUCAAAUGUCUGGACUUUCAGGCGUUUGUUUCUGUAAGGGUGUUCAAAAGGAAUGUUUAAAUAUGGAGCUCUGUUCAGAUGUUGUCUUAACUUUUUAGACUAAGGUCUCAGAGUUUGAAAUCCUUGCAUUUCAACAUAUCUGGUGGAAGUGAAACUCCAGUCAGAACUUCUACUGAGAGUUGGCUCUCUCUGCAGUGGUAGAUUUGGAUGCUGGAUGCAUUUGUUUGCCACUGUUCCUGGUGUGCUGUCCCUGGCAUUAGGGAUGCUCUGCAUUGGUCCUUUCACUCAUAUUGAAGGUUUGGUCUCUGAGUCACAGAGAAACCAGAAAACAAUGUCUGCCUUCAUGAGAACGGCUGCAGACCUAGAGAGAAUGAGAUCCCAGUAUUGCUGAAGCUGCUGAGAACCUGGACAUCCAGAUGGAUAUGGAGGACCACACAGAAUUGCUCCUACAUGAUAACCACGUCUUAACACGCACCUGCCACAUGGAUGGAAAAUACGUCAGGAGUUGGGAGGACAAGGAGUGAGGAAGGAAGCAAAUGGCUCUGUGAAUAUGGAAGUUCCCCUCAAGAAACUUCUCCUUCAAAGAAGGAGUGAUCUCUUGGAAUUCAAGCUCCUACAAGGUGGCUACCUGGUGUUGUCCAUUUCUGCUUUCUCCUAAAACGCAUCAAUCAAGCCUUGCCCUUUCAACCCACAGAGCACAUAAACAUUCUUUCUCCUUAACUGAACUUACUGCCACGGUGAACUUGAACUCUGAGAUGCACAAGAGGAGAGUCUGUUUUAACAGCUGCUUGGACACAGAGGCCCUGGAGUUACUACUCUCAAGACAGCUGGUUCUGUCUCUCUUUUCACUGUCCUAUUUUUUCAAGGCCCAGCUGUCAGGAUAUACCCACUGAAGUGUUCCCAAACAAAGGCACAAAACAGAAGACAGGCAAGAGAGUGGUACUUAUUGGAGACGAGGGCAUCUGACACUGGGACCCUUUACAUGCUGACAUAGGGUUUUUCUCCCCAGUUUAUUUUUAUAAUUGACCCCGUGGCUAGUUGAAUAUUAAUUGCUAAGUGCCUGAGGCUGCCCUGCCCAAUUCUGUUUAAAUGUAGAGUAAAUGAAAUAACAAUUUAAAAUGCAGGAUCCAUGUUGCACUUAGCCACAUAACAAGUGCUAAAUUAUCAGUCACAUGUGGCUAGUGGCUUCCAUAUUGGGAAGCUAAGAUAGAAGAUGUUUCCAUCAUUAUAGAAGGUUAUUGGACUGCUUUGGCCAAGGUAUAAUCUCGUUCUAAUAGGAGAAAGGGAUGCUGAUCUGGCUAAGAAUGAUAGCUUUGUAGGUUUAGCCUAUAUUGAUUGUUUUCCAUCCUACUUUCUAUUCACUCUUUUCUUGACUGCCAAUUUUCUACUUUUAUAAAUUUCUGCACAGGGAUGUGAUGGUGAUUAAAACAAUCCAUGACAAUGAUCCCACUUUAGAGGAAAAGACAACAUCAAGAAGCAAAGACAGUGGUGUGGCAAUCCACACAUUCCAGAUCUUUUUAUUAGUAUCUAUGAAAUAACAAAGGGGGAGAAGGACUCUCAGCCACAACUUCCCACACUAGUGUGGAGGCUGAAAGAUACCUGUGGGGAGAGGCAGAAAGUCAGGCCCUCCACAAAUCCUGGCUCUCAGAUCACUGAACUAUGUCUGGGUUCUAAUAUAAAGGUGAAUAGAAACACACUUUUUCUCAGAAGGUUUUUAAAGUUUCCAUAUCAUUAGCCAGGAAGCAUUGUGUCAGUUUUUUAUGUGUUCAGUUCUGUUUGUUUAAUAUCAAAUUUUCUCUGUCUCCACCAGAGUGAAGAGCUCUGACUUGUUCAUCGCUGAAUCCUUAGCAUUCAGAACAGCCUGGCCCCAAAGAAGGCACAUAAAAAGUAUUAGCUGAAAAACGAAUGCCUUUUUUUUUCUUUUAAAGGAAUGACCCAGAGUCUUUUACUCCCUCCCCAUAAAAUAAAUCUUCCUCAACGGCCUUAAUAAUCAGGAUUCCCUCCCAGCCAAUUAGACUUGGACUCAGCCUCUGCCUCCCGCUCUACAUUCCAAAGUUUCCUUUGCUGGCCAUUCCAGAAGGGCAACUCCCUGAACAGAGUCGAGGGAGGAACUACAGUCCUGCUCAGGGUCUAAUGUCUCCCCCACUCCUGCCCCCACCCCUACCUUUGGGCCUUUAAAAACUGUAAAAAUAGAAAUCUGUCAAGCUAUCCUGAAGUGUCAGCUGCCAGAAGGCAGGAACAGAGUCUCUGAAGGCAUAUAAUCACUCUACUUAACAACAACAACAAAGUCCAGCUGAAUUUUAUCUCCAAUGAAACAGAGCAGGCCAGGGUUUGCUUUUUUUGAGCAUACUUGAGGUGAGUUGUUUAUAGAGUCUUAAUCUACCCUGAGUUCAGGUAAACACUGUAAUUUCAUAUGAUUGCAAUGUUUUCAUUAAAAAAAAAACCGAUAUUAUUUUUUAUACUCCAUAUUAAUAAAGCCAAAUAACACAUUUUUUAAAUUUCUUUUUUUAAAAGACACUAGCAGUACAAUUAACAUGUGCCUUCAUUAGUUAAAACAAUCUUAUAUUUAUAAAAAAAUGCAUGUGCAUUUAAUGUGAUAUUCCUUGUGGCCAAAAUCUUUUUAUUAUCCUUCUAAUCUGGCCAUUAUUAUAACUUUAAAGUAAAAAAAAGUUUUGGGUUUUUUGUUUUUUUUUUUUUUUUUUUUUUGGCUUUUUAGGGCCACAUCCAUGGCACAUGGAGGUUCCCAGGCUAGGGGUCGCAUUAGAGCUGUAGCUGCUGGCCUAUGCUAUAGCCACAGCAACUCGGGAUCCGAGCUGCGUCUAGGACCUACACCACAGCUCACAGCAACACUGGAUCCUUAACCCACUGAGCAAGGCCAGGGAUCGAACCUGCACCCUCAUGGAUACUAGUUGGGUUCAUUAACCACUGAGCGACAAUGGAAACUUCAAAAGGACUGGUUUUUUUUCCCAUUCCCUUAAACUUAACCAUUUGCUUGAUGUGUUCAUAGUUGCUGGUUAUGGGAAUUUAGCAAUAAGUUAUAAAUUUGGAUUUUCUGCUGCUAGAGUCAAAUGGACAACGUCAAUAUUAGCUAAGCAACAUUCAGGUCAGAUGGAGUCUGGGUUUUAGGUGUACCCUUUUAUUGAAUAUAAAUGAGAGUUUAAAAAAUUCA